rnacentral:rRNA from 1 species
UCUCCGUUGGUGAACCAGCGGAGGGAUCAUUACCGAGUUUACAACUCCCAAACCCCUGUGAACAUACCACUUGUUGCCUCGGCGGAUCAGCCCGCUCCCGGAAAACGGGACGGCCCGCCAGAGGACCCCUAAACUCUGUUUCUAUAUGUAACUUCUGAGUAAAACCAUAAAUAAAUCAAAACUUUCAACAACGGAUCUCUUGGUUCUGGCAUCGAUGAAGAACGCAGCAAAAUGCGAUAAGUAAUGUGAAUUGCAGAAUUCAGUGAAUCAUCGAAUCUUUGAACGCACAUUGCGCCCGCCAGUAUUCUGGCGGGCAUGCCUGUUCGAGCGUCAUUUCAACCCUCAAGCACAGCUUGGUGUUGGGACUCGCGUUAAUUCGCGUUCCUCAAAUUGAUUGGCGGUCACGUCGAGCUUCCAUAGCGUAGUAGUAAAACCCUCGUUACUGGUAAUCGUCGCGGCCACGCCGUUAAACCCCAACCUUCUGAAUGUUGACCUCGGAUCAGGUAGGAAUACCCGCUGAACUUAAGCAUAUCAAUAAGCGGAGAAAAGAAACCAACAGGGAUUGCCCUAGUAACGGCGAGUGAAGCGGCAACAGCUCAAAUUUGAAAUCUGGCUCUCGGGCCCGAGUUGUAAUUUGUAGAGGAUACUUUUGAUGCGGUGCCUUCCGAGUUCCCUGAACGGGACGCCAUAGAGGGUGAGAGCCCCGUCUGGUUGGAUGCCAAAUCUCUGAAAGUUCCUUCAACGAGUCGAGUAGUUUGGGAAUGCUGCUCUAAAUGGGAGGUAUAUGUCUUCUAAAGCUAAAUACCGGCCAGAGACCGAUAGCGCACAAGUAGAGUGAUCGAAAGAUGAAAAGCACUUUGAAAAGAGAGUUAAAAAGUACGUGAAAUUGUUGAAAGGGAAGCGUUUAUGACCAGACUUGGGCUUGGUUAAUCAUCUGGGGUUCUCCCCAGUGCACUUUUCCAGUCCAGGCCAGCAUCAGUUUUCCCCCGGGGGAUAAAGGCGGCGGGAAUGUGGCUCUCUUCGGGGAGUGUUAUAGCCCACCGUGUAAUACCCUGGGGGGGACUGAGGUUCGCGCAUCUGCAAGGAUGCUGGCGUAAUGGUCAUCAACGAC